rnacentral:tRNA from 1 species
GGGCCCGUGGCCUAGCCUGGAUAGGGCGUCGGCCUUCUAAGCCGAAGAUCCUGGGUUCAAAUCCCAGCGGGCCCA